UACGGGGGGAGCAAGCGUUGUUCGGAUUUACUGGGCGUAAAGGGCGCGUAGGCGGUCGUGACAAGUCACUUGUGAAAUCUCCGGGCUUAGCUCGGAACGGUCAAGUGAUACUGUCGGACUAGAGUACAGAAGGGGCAACUGGAAUUCUCGGUGUAGCGGUGAAAUGCGUAGAUAUCGAGAGGAACACCUGCGGCGAAGGCGGGUUGCUGGGCUGAUACUGACGUGAGGCGCGAAAGCCAGGGGAGCGAACGGG
rnacentral:rRNA from 1 species